GAAGUAGAAAGUCUUAAACGAACUGUAGACUCUCCACUUUGAUGCAACCAAAGUCUUUGGUUUUCCAUCUCGUCUCCACGACAAAACACUGUGAUGAGUCUCUUCUCACCCAAAACCAUUAACAGCGCCGGAGUGAUUCCACAGUCGACGCCCGAUAUUAGUCCCCGCCGAACCUCGUCAUCUCCUUAGUCCUCGUCACUGCUGCCGCUUGGGUUCGAUGAUGACGCAGUCAACGGAGCUCAUCACCGGUGAAGACCCCGAUGAAGGUCCCCAAGUCGCCGUAUAAGGUUUUGGAUUUGCAAGAUGAUUUCAGGUUGGCUAUUGGCUUGAUUGAUUAGCUUCUGCGUUGGUUUCGAUAUUGUUGCUGUUAUUGGUGAAUAUUGUUAUGAAUUUUGUGAUGUGUUUGAUUCUUCAAGCUUGGGAUGCACCGGCAAUGAGUGACGAUUUCUAUUUGAGGCAGGUGGAUUGGUUUCUGCAUAAUGUAUUAGCUGUGGGAUAGGAAAACUGUGUUCAUUUGUGGAAUGUUUGUAGUAGGAAACACUAAAUGUAAUGUGCAUUUUCUGGAAUCACAGUGUAUAGAACAUGUGAAUGUAAUGUGCAUUUUCUGG
rnacentral:lncRNA from 1 species